CGGAACGUACCCUGGAGUGGGGGAUAACGUAGCGAAAGUUACGCUAAUACCGCAUACGAUCUAAGGAUGAAAGCAGGGGACCGCAAGGCCUUGUGCUCCUGGAGCGGCCGAUAUCUGAUUAGCUAGUUGGUGGGGUAAAGGCCUACCAAGGCAUCGAUCAGUAGCUGGUCUGAGAGGACGACCAGCCACACUGGAACUGAGACACGGUCCAGACUCCUACGGGAGGCAGCAGUGGGGAAUUUUGGACAAUGGGCGAAAGCCUGAUCCAGCAAUGCCGCGUGAGUGAAGAAGGCCUUCGGGUUGUAAAGCUCUUUUGUCAGGGAAGAAACGGUGA
rnacentral:rRNA from 1 species